rnacentral:ncRNA from 1 species
GUGUUCUGCUUUCAGACAGCAGAAUUAAACGGGAAGUUGGUGCGACCACCGUCAAUGCCAACGCUGCCCCCGCAACGGUAAGCAAGUAAGCCAAAUCGAUAUGCCACUGUCAUUCAGCGCCUGCGCUAUUUUUGAUGGGAAGGCGAUGCGGCUUGAUAGCUGUCAGCACCACGACAGUUAUAACUUGUAAGCCCGGAGACCGGCCUGAUGCC